rnacentral:rRNA from 1 species
AGCACCGGCUAACUCUGUGCCAGCAGCCGCGGUAAGACAGAGGGUGCAAACGUUGCUCGGAAUUACUGGGCGUAAAGCGCGUGUAGGCGGACCUCCAAGUCGGACGUGAAAGCCCCGAGCUCAACUCGGGAACUGCAUCCGAAACUGGCGGUCUGGAGUAGUGGAGAGGGAAGCAGAAUUCCUGGUGUAGAGGUGAAAUUCGUAGAUAUCAGGAGGAACACCGGUGGCGAAGGCGGCUUCCUGGACACUUACUGACGCUGAGACGCGAAAGCGUGGGGAGCAAACAGGAUUAGAUACCCUGGUAGUCCACGCCGUAAACGAUGAGUGCUGGGUGUCGUGGGUUUUGACCCCCGCGGUGCCGUAGCUAACGCGUUAAGCACUCCGCCUGGGGAGUACGGCCGCAAGGCUA